rnacentral:snRNA from 1 species
AGGCCUCUGUACAUCCUCUUAGA